UUAAAUUUAGGAAUUGUUUUGGAAGAGACUGUGGACUUGUCGUUUUGACAGAUUACUGAUGAUGAUGAAGCUUGCCUAUCUGCAACCUGCAAAAUUGAUGUUAACCUAGUGUUGCAAAUAAUGGACAAUUUUGUAUAUUUAUUUUGAAGAUUAUUUUGAUAUGUAUUUUAAGGACCAUUUCCACAUCCUGAUUAUAUACUGUAUGGAUCUAUGGAAAAUGAAUGAAUGAAUGAAUGAGUGCUGGGGAAAUCCUUUGGUCAAGUGCUGCAUGUUGUUACUUUGCAUUCUGAAAGAAUUGGUAUGGAUGCCAGUAAAUAUGAAUAUAUGCUUAACUUCCAGGCUCUAGCUACUCGGUUGGACCAAUUGUCAUCAAGCAACAUGCAUGUUGAACAUCAGUGUAUAGCAGAUCUUUUUGCACCUGAUCAGUCUCCAUUUUCAGAGACCCUGGCCAGUUUUGUUAAGUGAUUAAGAGAAGUUUUCAUAACAAUUCAUACUUAUUUUUGUAUGCUUUAUUUAAUGAUACUGCCAUAGCUCAGAUUAUAUAGCAUGCAAUGAGAGGAUGAUUAGUGAGUAUGAAUUGGAAAGGAUGUGGAAGGAAGUGGUUUUAACAUAAUUUGAGACACUAUCUUUGCUCUCAGGUUUGAAGAAAACAAUCAAUUCCUCAGGUUGAGAUUUGGAUCUGUCAUUCUUCAAUGCAAAGGAUUGUUGACCAUGUGACAAGGAAGUCUGUUAGAAUUUCUUUAGCAACUGAAAAUAACUGCCAUUGUCCUAUGAUCCCUGCAGUACCAGAUUAUGUAACACAUGCAGGUCCCAAAUUUUUUUGAUCAGAUCAAGAAAGAAAUGUCUUGAUUCACAUUGCUCUCAGUCUCAGACUUUUGUGAAUUUUGAAAGAACUACUUUGCUUUAUGAACACAUAAUUGCAUGCAUACUACCUGAUCUGUUAGAACCAAAUGGUGUGAGAAUAAACGUAGGAAAUUGUUUAAUAUGACUUGAGACUGUCCAGGGUCCUGGCAGAGAUUCACUCUGAGCACCUCCCAACAAAAAGUAGAAUAUUGCCACUAUGCCAUCCCAUCUGGAAAGAAUGUAAGUUUCUAUUGAUGAACAUACACUCAGUUUCAUUUCAAAUUGUUUGCAGGGAAAGGUUAGGAGUACCUCACCUGCCGAGAGCUUGAGAAAUUGAGUCCUGUGAGGCCUCCUCCAUUCCUGUAGAAUUGCCUCUGGUUGUGGAAAUACCAUCAAUCAUAUUGACAGAAGCAGAAAUUGAGUCGCUGCUGUCCUACAGGCUUGAUGCACACUUCAGUAUGGCAAAUCAGACAUCGUGUGUGGUGUGCAUGUGUGAUUUCGGAGGUUAUGAGCUGAUUGAACUCCUUCCAUGCAUACAUCAAUUUCAUGCAGAGUGCAUUGAUACGUGGCGGGAAUAUGGCACCACAUGCCCUUUGUGCCGUGGGGAUGCAGGUUGAGUACCUGACUCAUUUGGAUGAAAGAUUCUGCAUUUAAAUAAAUUUACCUCAGGUUGUGUAAAAAAAAAGAUUCUAUAUUUAUGUAAAUUUAGUUUAUUUUGUUUAUUCUUGCAACAUGUUCUUAGUAUGUCUUGUAUAUGUUCUGAGAUUUAAAUAAUAAAAUAUUUACCUCAGA